UGGCGACCGGCGCACGGGUGAGUAACGCGUAUGCAACUUACCUAUCAGAGGGGGAUAGCCCGGCGAAAGUCGGAUUAAUACCCCAUGAAACAGGGGUCCCGCAUGGGGAUACUUGUUAAAGAUUCAUCGCUGAUAGAUAGGCAUGCGUUCCAUUAGGCAGUUGGCGGGGUAACGGCCCACCAAACCGACGAUGGAUAGGGGUUCUGAGAGGAAGGUCCCCCACAUUGGUACUGAGACACGGACCAA
rnacentral:rRNA from 1 species